rnacentral:rRNA from 1 species
UACGUAGGGCCCGAGCAUUAUCUGGAAUUAUUGGGCGUAAAGAGCGUGUAGGUGUUCCUACAAGUCGGUCGUUAAAUCUCAGAGCUCAACUCUGGGACCGCGAGCGAAACUGUAGGAAUUGAGGUUUACAGGGGCAAGCAGAAUUCCAGGAGUAGGGGUGAAAUCCGUUGAUACCUGGAGGAAUACCAAUGGCGAAGGCAGCUUGCUGGGUAAUACCUGACACUGAGACGCGAAAGCGUGGGGAGCAAACGGG